AAAGGGUUUUAAGUUUAUUGACUGCGAAAAUUUGUUCAUGUAUAUAAUACACGUAUGUAAAUACAGUCACAUUCGCUUAAACGAUGUCGGAUGCAACGAAGUUUCGUGUAAAAUGAUUCUCGGCAAUACUUUAAAAUUUAAAUUCGACAUAUUUGUAUAAUAUUAUUAAGGCGGUUGAAAGCGAUUCGUUUUUUUCAUAUAUAUUUGGACCAAUAAGCUGGAGUAAAGAGAACAUUACUUACUAGUUGCAGGAUUUCCAUUUCUGUUUUGAAAAAUGAUUUAACUUU